UCCCCGUUACCGGGGCAGUCCAGCCAGAAAAAUUCAACUGACUAUAAGGGUUGCGCUCGUUGAUGGACUUAACCAAACAUCUCACGACACGAGCUGACGACGGCCAUGCAACACCUGUCAUCGGGUUCCAAAAGGCACGGUCCCCUUUCAGGGACUUUCCCGAGAUGUCAAACCCUGGUAAGGUUCUUCGCUUACCAUCGAAUUAAAGAACACGCUCCACCGCUUGUGCGGGUCCCCGUCAAUUCCUUUAUGUUUUAGUCUUGCGACCGUACUCCACAGGCGGGAUGCUUAACGCGUUAGCUUCGCUACUACCAGGGUCGAUACUGAUAACAGCUAGCAUCCAUAGUUUACGGCGUGGACUAC
rnacentral:misc_RNA from 1 species